rnacentral:rRNA from 1 species
CCUACGGGGGGCAGCAGUGAGGAAUAUUGGUCAAUGGGCGCGAGCCUGAACCAGCCAAGUAGCGUGAAGGAUGACUGCCCUACGGGUCGUAAACCUCUUUUAUAAGGGAAUAAAGUGAGGCACGUGUGCCCUUUUGUGUGUACCUUAUGAAUAAGGAUCGGCUAACUCCGUGCCAGCAGCCGCGGUAAUACGGAGGAUCCGAGCGUUAUCCGGAUUUAUUGGGUUUAAAGGGGGCGUAGAUGGGUUGUUAAGUCAGUUGUGAAAGGUUGCGGCUCAACCGUAAAAUUGCAGUUGAAACUGGCAGUCUUGAGUACAGUAGAGGUAGGCGGAAUUCGUGGUGUAGCGGUGAAAUGCUUAGAUAUCACGAAGAACUCCGAUUGCGAAGGCAGCUUACUAAACUGCCACUGACAUUGAGGCUCGAAAGUGUGGGUAUCAAACAGGAUUAGAUACCCUUGUAGUC